GAUGAAGAACGUAGUGAAAUGCGAUAAGUAAUGCGAAUUGCAGAAUCCGUGAAUCAUCGAGUCUUUGAACGCACAUUGCGCCCCCUGGUAUUCCGGGGGGCAUGCCUGUCCGAGCGUCAUUGCUGCCCUCAAGCACGGCUUGUGUGUUGGGCCUCCGUCCUCCUCCCGGGGGACGGGCCCGAAAGGCAGCGGCGGCACCGCGUCCGGUCCUCGAGCGUAUGGGGCUUCGUCACCCGCUCUUGUAGGCCCGGCCGGCGCUUGCCGACACAUCAAUCUUUUUUCCAGGUUGACCUCGGAUCAGGUAGGGAUACCCGCUGAACUUAAGCAUAUCAAUAAGCGGAGGA
rnacentral:misc_RNA from 1 species